rnacentral:rRNA from 1 species
GACGAACGCUGGCGGCGUGCCUAAUACAUGCAAGUCGAACGCACUCUCGUUUAGAUUGAAGGAGCUUGCUCCUGAUUGAUAAACAUUUGAGUGAGUGGCGGACGGGUGAGUAACACGUGGGUAACCUGCCCUAAAGUGGGGGAUAACAUUUGGAAACAGAUGCUAAUACCGCAUAAAACCUAAACACCGCAUGGUGUAGGGUUGAAAGAUGGUUUCGGCUAUCACUUUAGGAUGGACCCGCGGUGCAUUAGUUAGUUGGUGAGGUAAAGGCUCACCAAGACCGUGAUGCAUAGCCGACCUGAGAGGGUAAUCGGCCACACUGGGACUGAGACACUGCCCAGACUCCUACGGGAGGCAGCAGUAGGGAAUCUUCCACAAUGGACGAAAGUCUGAUGGAGCAACGCCGCGUGAGUGAAGAAGGUUUUCGGAUCGUAAAACUCUGUUAGUUGGAGAAGAAUGUAUCUGAUAGUAACUGAUCAGGUAGUGACGGUAUCCAA